GGAAGAGCAUCGCCUCCGGUGAGGCGCGCGGCCUUCAAAGCCGUUGAGACGCUUAGUCUGCGUCUGGUGGGUUCGACUCCUACCUCUUCCG
rnacentral:tRNA from 1 species